rnacentral:rRNA from 1 species
UCAACGUAGCAAUACGUGGCAUACGGCUCAGUAACACGUAGUCAACAUAACCAAAGGACGUGGAUAAACUCGGGAAACUGAGGCUAAACCGCGAUAGAUCAAGAUACCUGGAAUGGUUUUUGAUCAAAAUCUAUAUGGCCUUUGGAUUGGACUGCGUCCGAUCAGGCUGUUGGUGAGGUAAUGGCCCACCAAACCUAUAACCGGUACGGGCUCUGAGAGGAGGAGCCCGGAGAUGGGUACUGAGAUAAGGACCCAGGCCCUAUGGGGCGCAGCAGGCGCGAAACCUCUGCAAUAGGCGAAAGCUUGACAGGGUUACUCUGAGUGACUUUCGUUAAGAAAGUCUUUUGACACCUCUAAAAAUGGUGUAGAAUAAGGGGUGGGCAAGUCUGGUGUCAGCCGCCGCGGUAAUACCAGCACCCCGAGUGGUCGGGACGAUUAUUGGGCCUAAAGCAUCCGUAGCCGGCCUUACAAGUCCUCCGUUAAAUCCAGCUGCUUAACAGAUGGGCUGCGGAGGAUACUAUAAGACUAGGAGGCAGGAGAGGCAAGCGGUACUCAGUGGGUAGGGGUAAAAUCCGUUGAUCCAUUGAAGACCACCAGUGGCGAAGGCGGCUUGCCAGAAUGCGCUCGACGGUGAGGGAUGAAAGCUGGGGGAGCAAACCGGAUUAGAUACCCGGGUAGUCCCAGCCGUAAACGAUGCAGACUCGGUGAUGGACUAGCUUUAUGCUGGUCCAGUGCCGCAGGGAAGCCGUUAAGUCUGCCGCCUGGGUAGUACGGUCGCAAGACUGAA